AACGUAGGUUCCGAGCGUUAUCCGGAUUUACUGGGCGUAAAGCGCGUUCAGGCGGUUUGGCAAGUCGGGCAUGAAAUCUCUCGGCUCAACCGGGAGAGGUUGUCCGAUACUUCCAGACUUGAGGGCAGUAGAGGGUGGUGGAAUUCCGGGUGUAGUGGUGGAAUGCGUAGAGAUCCGGAGGAACACCAGCGGCGAAGGCGGCAUCCUGGACUGGUCCUGACACUCAGGAGCGAAAGCGUGGGGAGCGAUCCGG
rnacentral:rRNA from 1 species